UUUGCAGACCCAUUUGUAGCCUAUUGGGGUCACACCCUCAGGUGCGUCAACCAAAGUUCAUACUUGGUUGGCAUACAUGGAGUCCAUUUUGGAUUUUAUGGUAUUUAGCCACUUGUCAGAGUCACUACUCAUGACAGCUUUUGAAUAAGUCGUAGGUUCAUCAUUCUCAAUGAUGUGGGAUGUGUUGUCAUUCUCAAUGAUAAAUCG
rnacentral:lncRNA from 1 species